rnacentral:rRNA from 1 species
AGAGUUUGAUCAUGGCUCAGGAUGAACGCUAGCGGCAGGCUUAAUACAUGCAAGUCGAGGGGCAGCAGGUUUGUAGCAAUACAGAUGCUGGCGACCGGCAAACGGGUGCGGAACACGUACAGAACCUUCCUUUAAGCGGGGAAUAGCCCAGAGAAAUUUGGAUUAAUACCCCAUAGUAUUGUUGAGUGGCAUCACUUGAUGAUUAAAGAUUUAUCACUUAAAGAUGGCUGUGCGGCUGAUUAGGUAGUUGGCGGGGUAACGGCCCACCAAGCCUUCGAUCAGCAACUGGUGUGAGAGCACGACCAGUCACACGGGCACUGAGACACGGGCCCGACUCCUACGGGAGGCAGCAGUAAGGAAUAUUGGGCAAUGGACGAAAGUCUGACCCAGCCAUGCCGCGUGGAGGAUGAAGGUCCUCUGGAUUGUAAACUUCUUUUAUUUGGGAAGAAACCCGAUUUUUCUAAGUCGGUUGACGGUACCAGAUGAAUAAGCACCGGCUAACUCCAUGCCAGCAGCCGCGGUA